GACGAACGCUGGCGGCGUGCUUAACACAUGCAAGUCGAACGGAAAGGCCCUGCUUUUGUGGGGUGCUCGAGUGGCGAACGGGUGAGUAACACGUGAGUAACCUGCCCUUGACUUUGGGAUAACUUCAGGAAACUGGGGCUAAUACCGGAUAGGAGCUCCUGCUGCAUGGUGGGGGUUGGAAAGUUUCGGCGGUUGGGGAUGGACUCGCGGCUUAUCAGCUUGUUGGUGGGGUAGUGGCUUACCAAGGCUUUGACGGGUAGCCGGCCUGAGAGGGUGACCGGCUACAUUGGGGCUGAGAUACGGCCCAGACUCCUACGGGAGGCAGCAGUGGGGAAUAUUGCACAAUGGGCGGAAGCCUGAUGCAGCAACGCCGCGUGCGGGAUGACGGCCUUCGGGUUGUAAACCGCUUUCGCCUGUGACGAAGCGUGAGUGACGGUAAUGGGUAAAGAAGCACCGGCUAACUACGUG
rnacentral:rRNA from 1 species